rnacentral:rRNA from 1 species
GGCGGCGUGCUUAACACAUGCAAGUCGAGCGGUAAGGCCUUUCGGGGUACACGAGCGGCGAACGGGUGAGUAACACGUGGGUGAUCUGCCCUGCACUCUGGGAUAAGCCUGGGAAACUGGGUCUAAUACCGGAUAUGAGCUUGGGAUGCAUGUCCUGGGUUGGAAAGAUUUAUCGGUGCAGGAUGGGCCCGCGGCCUAUCAGCUUGUUGGUGGGGUAAUGGCCUACCAAGGCGACGACGGGUAGCCGGCCUGAGAGGGCGACCGGCCACACUGGGACUGAGACACGGCCCAGACUCCUACGGGAGGCAGCAGUGGGGAAUAUUGCACAAUGGGCGCAAGCCUGAUGCAGCGACGCCGCGUGAGGGAUGACGGCCUUCGGGUUGUAAACCUCUUUCAGUAGGGACGAAGCGCAAGUGACGGUACCUAUAGAAGAAGCACCGGCCAACUACGUGCCAGCAGCCGCGGUAAUACGUAGGGUGCGAGCGUUGUCCGGAAUUACUGGGCGUAAAGAGCUCGUAGGCGGUUUGUCGCGUCGUCCGUGAAAACUUGGGGCUCAACCCCAAGCUUGCGGGCGAUACGGGCAGACUUGAGUACUGCAGGGGAGACUGGAAUUCCUGGUGUAGCGGUGAAAUGCGCAGAUAUCAGGAGGAACACCGGUGGCGAAGGCGGGUCUCUGGGCAGUAACUGAC